UAAGUUUUGAGGCUCUAUCAUUGGAUUGAGCCAAGUUUUGCACAUGGUUAAAACACUGCUUGGUUGUUGAUUUCUUUGAUGCAUUUUCUCGAAAAUGUAGCAGUUGCUUUGGACAUGCGUGAGUUGUUCCUUAAAACCAUUGUCAAUGUCGUGUUAAAACUGUGAGACCAUACUUCCUACUAAUACAAUUGGAAUACUCAGGUGCAAUGUAGCUGCUACGCUAAACAAGGAAGAACAAGAGAUCAUGCAUAACAGUGAAACAUCAAAUAUGUGUUUGAAAAACGUAUCUAAUAAUAGCAGAAGUUAAUGCAUUGAAACCCCUAUUCAUAAUGACUGGAACUAGAAAAUGUCUCCUAACCAGAGGCAUCCCUUUAAAGAGGUUCUUAUUCAUCAGGACUACAGCCGACCCCCCAUUCUCUAUCUGUCAGUGUUGAGGCAAGAGAAGAAGUGUAGAAAAGCACUUUUCCUGGUAAUGGUCUGAAUUUCUCAAAUCAAUAAAAUAAGAAAAAAAUUUGCUGUAAUUCCAAUCAAAUAGGGAAAAUAGUGUGACAAGAAUGUACUUUUCACGUUUAUAUUAAAGAGAAUUUUGACUUUUGUUCGAUUUUUAAAAUAAUGGUGAAAUGACUUUAACCCUCCAUCAUUAUGCUUUUCUGUUGCAACAAGAAACAUCUAUUUUUAAUGAAAUAUGUAAUU